GCUAUUAUCUAGAUCUACUCUAGUUUAGAGAAGAGAGGAGAGCUCUCAUCUCUAAACCCUAGCUUUUGCUCUGUCUAUGAAUAAUGAAUAAUGAUCAAGGGGUGCCUCCUCCAGGGGCCAGGGGGUCUGGUUAUAUAGUCUUUUCAGAUGAAUCUGGGCCGUCGGAUCAAACCGACAUUGAUUGAACGGUUAUUCUUGAUCCUUUAGGUCGGUGGAGCAUAAUCCGCGAGGUUGAACGUGAUUGGUUACAGUAGCUGGGCGGGCACCCAAGGAACUUGGGCGGGCGCCCUGCCCCCGGGCCUGAUCGGCCUCCCGUUCGUUCCCGUGGCUUCUGGAGUCUUCUAGAUGGUAGAAAAUUGCGCGGCACGUUAAUAUCUCUAUGUAAACCCGACGUGUGGGCCUUUCUUUCAUAUUUCCUGAUAACCCCCUGCAGAAAUAGACAAACACCAAAACUCGUGGAAUUCUGUCAGAUAAAACCCUAAGUCUAGAUGUUGAUUUCAUUUGGAUCCUUUUUUUUGUUUAUUUGAUAAUUAAAUUUGAUACUUAAGGACCGUCAACAAACUCCCCCAAGCUUACCUCUUGCUUGUCCCUGAGCAAGGAUAGACUCAGCAAUGGAUUAGAAGUUGUUGCAAUAUCUUAAAAAUUUGACGGUACACAUGCUUUUAAAUAAGAUCUCAUCUCUGAGUUAGAGUAAACUGUCAAGAACUAAAACUUACUUACUUUACCUUUCACCAUGGGACUUGUAACCGUCACUUCUGUCUUGAGUAGUUAAAAGAUAGAACAGUCUAGCCAAGUGCCAUGUCUCUUAUUCUUGAUCAGCUAUAGCUCUGGAGUUUUUGCAGAUUUUCAAAUAAAACUCAGAGAUUUCUUGUAUGACUCUCUAAAUCUCUCUUUUGUGGUAUUUCUGGAUCCUUACCAAGGCAGUGAUGGUAUAUGCCUUCUCUCAAGAUAUGUGGUAUUUGUGGUAUAAGGCAUAGUGACAUUGCCUUCUCUCUCACCCUACUCUAAUAAGGCUUUAAUAUCUAGAGCUCAUAGGUGGGAGACAGCUAAUACAUACUUACAAGACAUUUAUUGCAUAGUCAAACCAUGGAUCCAGAGAAACAAGUCAAUAAGUCAAAUCAAGAUAUGCAUGUGUGGCGAAUGAAUGGUGUAUGGUAAUGAUGGUGAUAACAAUGGUGGAAGUCUAAUUCUACUUUUGCUCUUUUGAGGGGAUACAUACCUUCUUUGCUUUUUGAAACUUUAUGAGGAGAAUGAGAUGCUCUAUCUUUCAUUUUUCUUUCCUCUCAGGUGGGUAUCCUGUACCCCUAAUUCUACUGUCGGACACUUGUCCAUUUUUACCUCUCGUCUCACUCUUUUUUCUUUUCUUUCGAGGUUCCGGGCACUUGCCCCUUUUUAUUUCCUCGUUUAUUUUUUUUUCUUUUCUUCUCUUUUCUUUUUUUCAGAGCACUCAUCUCUUGAGAUAAUAUAGCAAGUGGUAGUAGCAAGAUAACUUGAGCAUUUAUUUCACAAGGGAAAACAGAAAUAUUUUUGGCUAUUCUCUCCCGGAUUAGGAGUAGAAUAUUUUUAGGUGGUUCUGGAGAUGGACAUAGAUGGAUAUAUGUGGAUGGUACUUCCGGAGUAGAAGUAGCAUAUAUGAGUGAACGUGCAAGUGAAUCUUGAUUUAACCACAUGACAAGCUCCUAAGGGUCUACACAGCUUGACCACACUCAAUGCUCAUAAGCAGUAAAUCAUAAAUGUGUGGCUCAAAGUCUAGCAAGCAUGUAUAUAUGGCUGUGGUAGGAAUUUAAACUCUCAUCAUAUAGGAACUCAUCAUGCAAUAUUUUAAAGAUUUUUCAAAGAUAAAAUUCUCCAGAAUUCUAGCAUCUCUAGGAACAGAUAAACAGCAGCUCAACCUUCCCAUAUCAUAUCCGUUAACAACUUAGAUUUCAGAUCAAGUUUUCAUCCCACAAGUUUAGAUCUAGAGCAAGCUUUAAAUUAUAACAGUUAUGUCUAAACUUGAGAGAGAACUUCAAAUUUGCAAAUUAGGCAGAGCAACUAUUCAUCAUAUCCAUGCUAAAGUUUUAUUAUUAAGAUUCAGAUUAGCAUAGCCACUUUAUUUAUUAAACACACUAAGCAAAAGAUAUAUAUAUAAACACAAAAUCUUUAUUUGGUUUUUCAUAGUUUAUGUAUUUUAAUAUUCUAAUAUAAUAUAAGUAUAAAGAUAGGUAGAAAUACUUAGCGAGAUAAAUGGGGGUGCUCUUCCCCCAAGCUGAAUUUUGACGUAAUUUCUCUUGAUGUAGCUAGCAGGUGGCAGAGUUGUAUUUGAAAGUCAGCAGCAACAGCGAUUAGAAUGUCCUCCGUCUGCUAGUGUUCUUGAUUCUUAAAUUCUGUGGAGCUCAAAUAGACAACAAAGCUUGUGAAACUAAUUAAGUGUUAGCAUAAAUAUCUAGCCUUCAUCAUGUUGAGCUUCCUCAAUAAAUAUUACUCCCUGUUUUUAUAUUUUUAUUUUAUAAAGCAGAAAAGAAAUAUUUAUUUUAUUUUUAUGCCACCACAGUGAAGGUACUUAUGGGUUUUAUGCCACUCGUAUACUCACAUGGGGCUUAGUAUUUUUUUAACCUUUUUAUUUUCUUUUCAAGAUAGCAUGAUUAACUAAUAAUCUAUUUAAGGAAAGUAAAUAAUUAAAGGGAAAAGGGAAUGCAGAAAAGAUAAAUAUGGAUAACUACUGAUCUUACCUUUCGGCGAGGGUUCAAUGUUUUAAGUCUUCUUAACAAGACUUCUCACCGUGUUCAUUCUUCAGGUGCGUCAUUUGAUUCAGGUGCGGACCUUGACGUCUGCACCUCUUGAUACGGUGUCACCCAUGUUCUUCGUUUGCCCAGCACUUCGAAGUGCGGUGUUGGCAGUAACCUGCUCAGUGUGUUUGUGCUCGUAGAUCCAGGUCCUUCACUUGGUAGAGUCUGAGAGUUAUAAAACUCCAUGUUUUGCUCAAAGUGUACCUGCUCAUAGAGACAAGGCAGAGAUCAAGUGCAUGGGUCCUGUUGGUGGAAAACACCAACAGAACCUAAAGUGUAUUUGUUCUUCUCUAACCCUAAGCAUAGUGAGCAAGACAAAGUUGAUGGAUGAAAAGUUCAUGAGUGUAGCACUUAUAACAUUUGUCAGAUCAGAUCGCUCAACCUUAUGGAA
rnacentral:lncRNA from 1 species